rnacentral:misc_RNA from 1 species
GCGUCCCUUCGACUACGUGUAGGUGUAGUCUGCGCGGUUACGGUCGGGCCACUGGCUGGAGUCCCCUCCUACCCACACUAAAAGGAAAAGGUGGUAGAGACGGGAAAAGAGGCGGAUCACGCGCGUAAAGAGCGAGCGACGGAGCCAUUCCACUGCACCGUUACCGCACAGGCGUAGAUCGGAUCUGGCAGCCUUAUUCAGUGGGCGGCGCUUGCUUCUUUUUCUUUCCAGCCCUCUUCCCACAUUUCACGUAUACACAAGUAUUCGCGCUUUGCUGCCAUGCAGCCGAACAGCGUGGGCGACUUCCCAGUGCCAGUGGCCACGAGCGGCGCGCCCACUGACGAUGGCCAGAGCACACGCCAGCUGCAUGCAAACAUGAUUUCGUCAGAGGAGGUGCCGACCGCGAGCUUUCGAGCUCACAUGCCAUACGAAAGGUCCACCAUCUCCUCCAAGCAGCGCCGUGGCGGCAACCUCGUUCUGUUCGUGAAGUCCAGCGAGAACGAGUCGGAGGCGGCGCCGAGGGGCACAUCGUUCGCUCCGCAGCAGCAACAGGCCAACAGCAGUGGUGCGGACGGCGAUGUAGAAAGCGUUACCGAUGAGGGCGAUGAGAACGUCGGCAAGGAUCGGGAAGACGCUCCCUCUCUGGUCAUCUCGACAGUUGCGGACGCGGUUGGGUCCGUGGGCAGCAUGGCCACCGGCGCGACACGUAGGCCCCUCGUCACGGCUGCCCUCGUCCUGCUCUACUUCAUUUUGCUCGAUCUUGUGCUUUUGAGCGGGAAUGAGCGACUGAACCGGGUGCUGCGCCGCAUGCGGGCUGCUGAGGACGACGCGCUCAUAUUGCUCUCCACCAGCUUGGUCCGUCAGAUGGCAGAGGCGAAACGGGAGUUGCGGGAUGCUGUGACGCAGCGCGGCGGCAAAGUGAAAACUGAGUUAUUUGAGAUGGCCCGACACAAGGUGGAGGCUCUGGAGCGAGUGUGCAACCGCAGCAUCUCGCGUCUGCACGCGAAGCUAAUGUUUCCCGGCAGCGUGGAGGACCUUUUGUUCCUCAUUGAAGCGCACGCCACAUACGACGAGCGACUGCGCGAGCUGGCGGCGAACGAGUUGCAUUGGGCGACGACGGUGAUGACCGGGCACGUAGUGCACGCUGGCGGGGACGGCGUGGAGGAGUCGCGUCCACAUGGACUGGGUACAGCACGACCAGCGGCGCAUUCGUCGGCAGCGGGCGGCGAUGCCCAUCCUUCAGAGGAGGGGGACACGGAUGCAGCGUUGAACCCGCUGCGUAAUGUUCGACUGCAGCAUGUGCGCCAGUACAGGGCACCGACCAAGUUCGCAGCAAGAAGCUAUGCGCGGCGCCCCGCCACAGAGGCGAAAAGCGCCGCCACGUCGCGACGGCAGUCAGGUGGCACCAGCACAUUUGCUUCCGCAGUAUCGGUGGUGAAGACGACGGCGCGGGGACUCCUCGAGGUUGUCAGCAACAAGCUGGUGGCGUUUCUGUUGAUUUGCGUGCUGCUCUCCGCAGUGCUGCGGAUGGGGUGAUAGAGCGAGAGAGGCGGGCGGCUCACGGGGUGUGGUUGUGGGGCACAGCAGGCGGAGACGCUGUGCGUCUGCUCGAGCAUCGCACACACGCACAGAGAAUGAGCGACAGGGGCAGGGAUCUUCAUCGUCGGGCCAUUAAGCUGGCUCGCCGCAGCAUCGCCGUUUCGCACUCUCUUGACGCCGACAUUCCUUUUGCGCCAUCACUGACGCGCGUGUUUCUUCAACCUUUUUUUGAAUGCAGCAUGUGGCUGGGCUCCGUCUACGUGUGUGGGCACAGAGCAGCGCUGUCGCGGAUGCGCUUUGUUUGUUCAUCAGCCGCUCCGUCGCCGCCACCCGUUUGCUCUCGAGUUGUCUCCUGCUCUCCACCUACGGCAAUUAAGGAAGCUCCGCAAAGACGCACACGCGCAUUCGAACGUGCGACACACAUGUCUCUCUCUCCUUGGUGGUCGACACGCACGCCGGCUUCGCAUCGGUGGCAUCCACUUCUCCGAUCCCAUUUUCUGUUUCGCGCACCCCAGUGUACUCUUUACAUCGUCGAGUUCCCGCGCUUGCCCUUCUCUCUCCUUUCGCACACUCGCUUGCAGGCGAAUGCGCAGUGCCUGCUCUUGCUGCAGCUCUUCGUUGUCGCUGACAAGGCGCUUUGUUUUGUUUGUGGGAAGGAGGCGCGUGCGUUGCCAAUGCAGAGAGUGUGUGAUUGUCUUUGUGUGUGCGUGCGGUGGUGGUGGUGGCGGCGGCGGAGGGGGGGGGGAGGCGAUCGGCCCCCUCUUUUUUCCGCUCCGCCCACUCGCGUUCCUCUUUGCCUGUCCGCCUCGGAGAGGGGCACGAGAGCAAACGGAAAGCAGAGGACACACGCAGCAGGAAAGCUCCCAAACCGAAGCUCGAAAAGAAACAUACACGAGAUGGAGCCGUAGAGUAUUCCUGAUGGCGGCGAGCGACGCAUUUUUUUUCGUACUGUACACCACAGUGCCCGAUCUUCAGCGCAUGUGUGGCGGGACAGAUGGGAUGCUGGGGAGGGGAGGAUAAGUGUAGAAAAGCUUCUGCAACAAUUCUGCUUUACGUGCGCGUCCGAGCUCUCUCCGCCCCUCUUCUUUUUUCUUCUCGGAAGCGUUAUACAGUGCCCCUCUCCUCCUCAAAGCGUGCUGACCAACAGCAUGGCACAGAUGAGUGCCGCAUGAUAAGAGGAUGCACAGUCACUGCACCGAAUGUGCCGUGACGAGUGCACGGAAACGCUCGCCUAGGGACAAACACACAAGCGAGAGCAAGACGUGAAAAGUGACCCUCUCUGCACAGAAUUGAACAGAUCUCUUUUUUAAUUUUUUCGAGGUUGGUUCCUUGACAAGCUAUCCGACGUCCUCUGUCUCCUACUCGUCUCUUCUCGCUCUGUCUGCUUUCGUCUUAUGUAUGUAAUUUACACGACAG